ensembl:snRNA U1 U1 spliceosomal RNA
GUACUUUCCUGGCAAAGGAGAUAGUGAUCAAGAAGGUGAUUUUUCCAGGGUGAGACUUUCAUUGCACUCCCAAUGUGCUGACCACUGCAAUUUCUCUAGAGGUAUGAAACUUAGCUACAUCAUUUUUGGAAGAGGGAGACUGUGUUCCCACUUUCCUG